AUUGAACGCUGGCGGCAGGCCUAACACAUGCAAGUCGAACGAGUGGCGGACGGGUGAGUAAUGUCUGGGAAACUGCCCGAUGGAGGGGGAUAACUCCUGGAAACGGUAGCUAAUACCGCAUACCAUCGGAUGUGCCACGAUGGGAUUAGCUAGGAGGUGGGGUAACGGCUCACCUGGGCGACGAUCCCUCGCUGGUCUGAGAGGUUGACCAUCCACACGGGAACUGAGACACGGUCCAGACUCCUACGGGAGGCAGAAGUGGGGAAUAUUGCACAAUGGGCGCAAGCCUGAUGCAGCCAUGCCGCGGGUAUGAAGAAGGCCGUCGGGUUGUAAAGUACUUUCAGCGAGGAGGCGUUACUCGCAGAAGAAGCACCGGCUAAGUACGUGCCAGCAGCCGCGGUAAUAC
rnacentral:rRNA from 1 species